AUGGAAAUGUUUGCAACUUUUUCUUUCUCAUGUACUUUCUUUUAUUUCCUUAUGACAUUUAGAUUCUUUGGGAUCUCAAACACCAUCUUGGACAUGAUGUCUUCAUUCAGUGUGGUCGAGUUUGUGGAUGAAGUUGACUCUGAUGGCUGCAAGAAGGUAGACAUCGUUCCAUCAGAGUGGUUCCAUGAUACAGAGAGAAAAUUAUGCUGGUGGCCUCCUGCCUCAUUGGUGAAUGUGACAAAGGCUGUAAAGGAAGGAACACCACCAACCAGCAACUGGAUACUCUGCAAUGUCCGUGUCAUGGGAAAUGCAGCAACUUAUGCAAAUGCCAGGGCAAAGUUGCAUCAAGCAGAGUAUUCAUCAGACUUGACGGACAAUGAGAAUGGCAUAAGAAAAAGAAAGCCAAGUGUUAAACUGAUGAAGAAUCAACUGAGCAGCCACACUGAAUCAAGUGAGCCUUCUGAUUCAGAUGAAGAACUUCCACCCACGCCUCCAGAACAACUCCUUAAGCAACCCUCUGGAAAAAACAAUAGUGUAGUUGCCACCCCCGCUGCCCGGAGUGCCGCCAGCCCCACUUGUGGAGCCAUGUUCUCGAAAGUCCUUGCCAUUUUAGAGGAAGUGAAGGAGACUCAACUGGUUCAUAGCAAGAUGUUAAAUGCCUUGCUGAAGCAGAAAAAUGGUUCAGUUACGGCGGUCCCUGAAGGGGUUGUUUUACCUCUUAAAACCCAAGACGAUGUUGAGGCUCUUAAUGGAAAACUGGAGGACUCCAGUCUCAUGUAA
rnacentral:lncRNA from 1 species